AAUUGUUUGGUUGCAAUAUUGAAAGUUGGUUGGAAAAUAUUUGAUGAAAUUCAGAGUAUUAUUUGAAAAUUUUAACUUUCUUUCAAUAAAUAAUUUUAAAAUAUUAGGAAUUGUAAGGACUUCAUAUUUUUCUCUUUGUAGUUGAAAGUUAUAGAAUAUUAAAAGAAUGGUUAAAUUGUGGUUGUUGUCAAUCAUUGGCAUCAAUAAUGGCAAUGGCCGGAGAUGAUAGGUUGUGAUCAUUGCAUUAGUAGGACUGUUCCUAUGUGACUCCCUAUUUAUUUCUCUUUUUAUAAGUUUAUGAAAGUAUGAAAAAUUAUUUCCAGUUUUAAACAAAAGAAAUCAUUUUCCUUGAGAAUAUCUUGGUGUUUUUUUUUUUGAACAGGAAGUCAUUUUCUGUUUAGUAAUUUUCCUAAAGUACUGCAAGCACCGUAAAAGUAGAAUAUGUUUUGCAGGAAAAUGUUUUCUGCCAAAAAAGUAGAGCCUGAGUGGAAGAGUUUGCUAAUCUGCCAUGACUACAUUUGUGUAUAGCAGUGUUGCUUGUAAUGGAUAUCAACUUCCCAUUUAAGGAUUUCUUUUAUCAUUUUUAAUGGCAUAGUUUGAUUCCAAAAUUGACUUCUAAGUACUUUCUUGACUAGGAAAAAAUGCCUCAGUUGUGGGGUACUUUUAAUUUGAGUAAUUUAUUUUAGAUUGCCAUUGCCUAUCAAGAUGAGCUUUAGGACAAAAGUGUGUAAGUAAAAUACAACUGUUUCUUUAGUUGUGCUAUUAGGACUUUGGUGUGUGUUGGUGAGUGUAAUGCAGCAAAAGAACUACAGAUGGGGAAUGCUUAGAUAUUAUCCUUCACUGUAUUUAAGAUAUUCUUCUAGGUAAGUGGCUCUGGAGAUUUAAGACCGAAACACCCCCACCCCACCCCACCUACCACCCCCCCCCUUCU
rnacentral:misc_RNA from 1 species